UUCAGAGGUGAAGGGUCACGGCAAAUGAGUACAACGUUGUUUCUGUGUGAUCACCUUUCUCCCAUGAUGCAACAUUGCUAUCGUGAUGGGAGUGGUCUCUUUCAGGAUGACAUUGUCCUCAUCCAUAGGGCACCGACGAGGGGUCACCGACGCGAGGGGUCACCGACGCGAGGGGUCACCGACGCGAGGGGUCACCGACGCGAGGGGUCACCGACGCGAGGGGUCACCGAAUGAUUUGAUGAGUAUGACAAUGAUGUGAAUCAUGUGCUAUGGCCUUUGCUGUCACCUGAACACCUCGGGGAGGUUUUGGAGCGACGCGUUAGACAGCGCUCAACACACCUGAACACCUCGG
ensembl:lncRNA